rnacentral:rRNA from 1 species
GAUGAACGCUGGCGGCGUGCUUAACACAUGCAAGUCGAACGGAAAGGCUCCUGCUUGCAGGGGUACUCGAGUGGCGAACGGGUGAGUAACACGUGGGUGAUCUGCCCUGCACUUCGGGAUAAGCCUGGGAAACUGGGUCUAAUACCGGAUAGGACGAUGGUUUGGAUGCCAUUGUGGAAAGUUUUUCGGUGUGGGAUGAGCUCGCGGCCUAUCAGCUUGUUGGUGGGGUAAUGGCCUACCAAGGCGUCGACGGGUAGCCGGCCUGAGAGGGUGUACGGCCACAUGGGGACUGAGAUACGGCCCAGACUCCUACGGGAGGCAGCAGUGGGGAAUAUUGCACAAUGGGCGCAAGCCUGAUGCAGCGACGCCGCGUGGGGGAUGACGGCCUUCGGGUUGUAAACUCCUUUCGCUAGGGACGAAGCGCAAGUGACGGUACCUGGAGAAGAAGCACCGGCUAACUACGU